GAUGAACGCUAGCGGCAGGCCUAACACAUGCAAGUCGAGGGGUAGAAGUUGCUUGCAACUUUGAGACCGGCGCACGGGUGCGUAACGCGUAUGCAAUCUGCCUUGUACUGAGGGAUAGCCCAGAGAAAUUUGGAUUAAUACCUCAUAGUAUUAUGGUGUGGCAUCACAUUAUAAUUAAAGUUCCAACGGUACAAGAUGAGCAUGCGUCCCAUCAGUUAGUUGGUAAGGUAACGGCUUACCAAGACGAUGAUGGGUAGGGGUCCUGAGAGGGAGAUCCCCCACACUGGUACGGAGACACGGACCAGACUCCUACGGGAGGCAGCAGUGAGGAAUAUUGGUCAAUGGGCGCAAGCCUGAACCAGCCAUGCCGCGUGCAGGAUGACGGUCCUAUGGAUUGUAAACUGCUUUUAUACGGGAAGAAACACUCCUACGUGUAGGAGCUUGACGGUACCGUAAGAAUAAGGAUCGGCUAACUCCGUGCCAGCCGCCGCUGUAACAC
rnacentral:rRNA from 1 species